rnacentral:lncRNA from 1 species
CCCCUCACUGGGGGAUUCUAGGCAGGGGCUCCACCGCUGAGUCACACCCCCAGCCCCUCACUGGGGGGAUUCUAGGCAGGGGCUCUGCCACUGAGCCACGCCCCCAGCCCCUCACUGGGGGAUUGUAGUGAGUGCAAUACUACUGAGCUGUGUCAACAGCCUUUCACUUUCUUUUUUAAAUCUUUUUUUUUUUUUUUUUUUUUUGAGACAACAUCUUGCUAAGUUAAUCAGGCUGGUCUUAACUGUAUCACAGACAGGCCUUGAAUCUGGGUUCUUCCUCAGCCUCUUAAGUAGCUGGCCUGUAACACUUAGCCCUGAGUCGGGCGGUGGUGGCACAUGCCUUUAAUCCCAGCACUGGGGAGGCAGAGGCAGGAGGACCUCUGAUUUCGAGACCAGCCUGGUCUACAAGAGUGAGUUCCAGGACAGCCUCCAAAGCCACACAGAGAAACCCUGUCUUGAAAAAACAAACAAAAACACUUAGUCCAGCUAGCUGAUCAUUCUGGCCACGCUGUCACGUGAAUCGGCCGUUCCUUCCUAUAUAUGGGUGAAUAAUGUUGUGUAGUCAUGAUAGACCACACUUCACGUGACCCACUCAUCAGCUGAUAGAUGCUUGAGUGGAUUCUACCUUUGAGUUUCCAUGAAUGCUGCUAUGAGUGUGUUUCCACAUGAGCAUUUAUGCCGUUGAUCUAAGUAGGCAUGGGAUAUCUGGCUCAGAGGCUGGCUCACGGUUACCUUACUCAACAACUGACUACCGGAUGACUCCCCAGCGGCUGACCAGCUUACAUUCCCACCAGCCAUGAAUGGAAACUCGACUCGCCGGCCUUUUGAUUAUUCAUGCCUUCUCCUGUUGGAGGGCAUUGGGUCGUGUGCUGUUCAGAACAUGCUGGAAUGUACGUUAGGGCCCACAUCUACCCCUUAGAUCCAAAAGGUGGAGUUAACAUCAGGAGUGUCUACCUGCCUGGUCCAUGUUUGGCUCUCUCUCGAAUCUUCUGCAGAGAUGAGCAUGGCAAUCUUCCCCUGUGCUCUCUGCUGCCUGUGGACAAGAUGCCCUCCUCCGGGGCCUUUGGGGGCCCUCCCUACCCUCUAUGUGAUGGAUGAUGUCUUUUUGGCUGGCCCCACAAAGGACACUGUCAAAGUCCCCAGCCCGGGGCCCUGCGUAGACCUGGAGUGGCCACCCCAUCCUUCCCUUCAUGAUUCCUUCAGAGCACAGUUCACGUUACUGGAAGGGAAAGACCAACAUGGGGACAGUAGAAAAAUGCACUAGAAGGAGGGAAACAUGUGUGGGUGUGUUUCCCGGAUGUGUCUAAGGGUGAGUACAUGGGAAUUUAGAAAGACAGUGGGGACAGAUGACGCUUGGAUGAUCCGUGUAUGUGUAAUAAGAGGAUGCAUGGGUGUUUGGAAGGAUGGAGAGGGGAGGAGAUAGACGCUUGGAAAGUCAGAUGCAGACUGGAGAGACAGCUCAGUUGGGAAAGUGCUUGCAAGGACCUAAAUUUGAUUCCUAGAACCCAUAUAAAGAGCAGGGCAUGGAAUCCCAGCACUGGGGAGGUGGACACCGUGGGAUACCUGAGGUUUGCUAGCUGGCCAGCCUAGCCUAAUUGGUGUGCUCCAGGCCAAUGAGAGACCCUGUCUCAAAAAGAUGGGCAGUGUGGGACGAUAGCUGGGAGGAGGGCCUUUUGGAGGGCAGAGGGGAUGUUGGAUGCUCUGAAGAAACGGGUGGCUGGUUAGAAGGCAGCAAUGCUGUGUGGUGGGAAUCCAAUGUGAACAUGCAGACCGCAUCUGAUCCUUUUGGGGUACAGCGGGCAAAGCAGCCUCUCCCUCCUCCCCCCAGAGGCUGACCACGCUAAACUUUGUCCUGGGCUCUGACAGUGCUAGCCAGCGGUGAGCGCCAGAUGGCUCAGGACAAACCUUAGCCGUCCGCAUCCUCAUCAUUCAGCUAUGGGGCCAGCCCUUCACUGCCACCUCUCCCGUAGCCUCAUGAUUCCCCCCCAUACACUCCCUUUCUGCUGCCCCAGUCUCCACCUCCAUAUUUCACCCCUGUCACCUACCCUUUGCUUCAGACGCACACUGCAUAGAUCUCCAGGGUUCACCCAGGACACGGUGUGCCGGCCUUCCUGUCGCCUCCACACCCUGCCUGGUCUAUAAA